GUGACCUGACGCACAUGGAAUG
rnacentral:rRNA from 1 species